rnacentral:tRNA from 1 species
UUUAUUUUGGCAGAGAAAUGCAUAUGACUUAGGUUCAUAGGAUAGUAUUUAACUACUAAAUU